rnacentral:rRNA from 1 species
AGAAUCAACGCUGGCGGCGUGCCUAACACAUGCAAGUCGCACGAGAAAGGGGAGCAAUCCCUGAGUAAAGUGGCGCACGGGUGAGUAACACGUGAAUGAUCUACCUCCGAGUGGGGAAUAACCAAAAGAAAUUUGGCUAAUACCGCAUAACACUUACGAGUCAAAGCAGCAAUGCGCUUGGAGAGGAGUUCGCGGCAGAUUAGCUAGUUGGCGGGGUAAUGGCCCACCAAGGCGAUGAUCUGUA